UCUUUUGCUUCGACAGCAGCAGCAUUGUCUGAUUCAUCCUGUUAACAAAUAUGAUUGUCAACAACAGUUUCAUACGUUUUUCUAUGUUUAAAAUAGGUACAUACAUUAUUUUUAGGAAUAUCGGUCUUGUCUGCUUCAUCUGACCCUGGGUUAGGAUCCUCAGUUCCUACAGACCCCUCGACAAUACCCGGCUCUUCCAUGACUACUUGUGCAAGUUAACGUACACAAGUCUAUAUAAUGUACACAUAUAAUCCUAUGCAUGCUAUUCCGAAAAUAGGAAUUGAAACACACAAAUUGUUACCUCCACAUCAGUAGUUGCAGCCAAAUCACCAACGGCUUUGGUAUCCUACUCCCGUAUGACCUGCAUAAUAUAAAUUUUAUACAUUUGAACAGUAAAUAGUACAUUUUAUUUGUUGCAAGAGUUAGCUUACAUUGUUAACUACUUGAAAUGGUGAUGAGGGAUCACUGUGGGUCUUCUCAGGUAUUUCAACUUCCAUCCUUGUCACUAAUUUGGAUUCUCCUGCCGCCUCAACCUGUAGAAUUUAUCAUCGGAAAGAAACUUUUUAGUAAUGUAUGAAACAAUAUAUAUGUACACAGAACAUAGUGACAAAAAUGUACGUACACUUGUGCCAGGUACGUGAGCUGUAUCUCCAUCAGAAGGCUCAUAAGUUUCUUCUGACUCGCUGCCAUUAGCUACAGUCGAUGCACUGGCAUCUCUUGCUUCUUCCUGAAACAAAAAUAAUUUGCAAAGUCUUAUGGGCGUACACAUAUGGAAAAAGAACAAGUGACUAACACAUACCUGUGCAGAUGUUGAAGGUAAACCUGAUGGAUUGUCUACCAUCUCUAUGUCAGCAUCAGCUAUUUCAUCGGCCCCUGUAUGGGUACCA
rnacentral:sRNA from 1 species